rnacentral:rRNA from 1 species
GACGAACGCUGGCGGCGUGCUUAACACAUGCAAGUCGAACGGAAAUGCCCUGCUUUUGUGGGGUGCUCGAGUGGCGAACGGGUGAGUAACACGUGAGUAACCUGCCCUUGACUUUGGGAUAACUUCAGGAAACUGGGGCUAAUACCGGAUAGGAGCUCCUGCUGCAUGGUGGGGGUUGGAAAGUUUCGGCGGUUGGGGAUGGACUCGCGGCUUAUCAGCUUGUUGGUGGGGUAGUGGCUUACCAAGGCUUUGACGGGUAGCCGGCCUGAGAGGGUGACCGGCCACAUUGGGACUGAGAUACGGCCCAGACUCCUACGGGAGGCAGCAGUGGGGAAUAUUGAACAAUGGGCGGAAGCCUGAUGCAGCAACGCCGCGUGCGGGAUGAAGGCCUUCGGGUUGUAAACCGCUUUCGCCUGUGACGAAGCGUGAGUGACGGUAAUGGGUAAAGAAGCACCGGAUAACUACGUG